CUGACCAAAUGUUUAAGGAAGGGGAUGGGGAUGCGUCCCAUUAGCUUGUUGGCGGGGUAACGGCCCACCAAGGCUCCGAUGGGUAGGGGUUCUGAGAGGAAGGUCCCCCACACUGGAACUGAGACACGGUCCAGACUCCUACGGGAGGCAGCAGUGAGGAAUAUUGGUCAAUGGAGGCAACUCUGAACCAGCCAAGUAGCGUGAAGGAAGACUGCCCUAUGGGUUGUAAACUUCUUUUGUUCGGGAAUAAAGUGCAGUAUGUAUACUGUUUUGUAUGUACCGUUCGAAUAAGCAUCGGCUAAUUCCGUG
rnacentral:rRNA from 1 species